rnacentral:rRNA from 1 species
GACAGAGGGUGCGAGCGUUAAUCGGAAUUACUGGGCGUAAAGCGUGCGUAGGUGGCGUGGUAAGUCGGGUGUGAAAUUUCGGAGCUUAACUCCGAAACUGCAUUCGAUACUGCUGUGCUUGAGGACUGGAGAGGAGACUGGAAUUUACGGUGUAGCAGUGAAAUGCGUAGAGAUCGUAAGGAAGACCAGUGGCGAAGGCGGGUCUCUGGACAGUUCCUGACACUGAGGCACGAAGGCCAGGGGAGCAAACGGA